UAAUACUCCAUAGAUUAGAGACACUGGAAUGUUCUUUAGUCGAAAGUUCUGGCGCCUUAGGAUGGAUCUGCGGUCGAUUAGGUUGUUGUUGGGGUAACGGCCCAACAAGCCUGUAAUCGAUACGGGUUGUGGGAGCAAGAGCCCGGAGAUGGAAUCUGAGACACGAUUCCAGGCCCUACGGGGCGCAGCAGGCGCGAAAACUUUACAAUGCAGGAAACUGUGAUAAGGGAACUCCGAGUGCCCGUACACGCGGGCUGUCCAGGUGUUUAAAAAUCAUCUGAAGAAAGGGCCGGGCAAGACCGGUGCCAGCCGCCGCGGUAAUACCGGCGGCUCGAGUGGUGGCCACUAUUAUUGGGCUUAAAGCGUCCGUAGCUGGACCGAUAAGUCUCUUGGGAAAUCCGCCGGCUCAACCGGCGGGCGUCUAAGGGAUACUGUUAGUCUAGGGACCGGGAGAGGUGAGAGGUACUCCGGGGGUAGGAGUGAAAUCCUGUAAUCCCCGGGGGACCACCGAUGGCGAAGGCAUCUCGCCAGAACGGCUCCGACAGUGAGGGACGAAAGCUGGGGGAGCGAACCGGAUUAGAUACCCGGGUAGUCCCAGCCGUAAACUAUGCGCGUUAGGUGUAC
rnacentral:rRNA from 1 species